CCUACGGGAGGCAGCAGUGAGGAAUAUUGGUCAAUGGGCGCGAGCCUGAACCAGCCAAGUAGCGUGAAGGAUGACUGCCCUACGGGUUGUAAACUUCUUUUAUAAAGGAAUAAAGUGAAGCACGUGUGCCUUUUUGUAUGUACUUUAUGAAUAAGGAUCGGCUAACUCCGUGCCAGCAGCCGCGGUAAUACGGAGGAUCCGAGCGUUAUCCGGAUUUAUUGGGUUUAAAGGGAGCGUAGAUGGGUUGUUAAGUCCGUUGUGAAAGUUUGCGGCUCAAGCGUAAAAUUGCAAUUGAUACUGGCAGCCUUGAGUACAGUUGAGGUAGGCGGAAUUCGUGGUGUAGCGGUGAAAUGCUUAGAUAUCACGAAGAACUCCGAUUGCGAAGGCAGCUUACUAAACUGCCACUGACAUUGAUGCUCGAAAGUGUGGGUAUCGAACAGGAUUAGAUACCCCAGUAGUC
rnacentral:rRNA from 1 species